rnacentral:rRNA from 1 species
AGAGUUUGAUCAUGGCUCAGGACGAACGCUGGCGGCGUGCUUAACACAUGCAAGUCGAACGGAAAGGCCCUUCGGGGUACUCGAGUGGCGAACGGGUGAGUAACACGUGGGUGAUCUGCCCUGCACUUUGGGAUAAGCCUGGGAAACUGGGUCUGAUACCGAAUAGGACCACGCGCUUCAUGGUGUGUGGUGGAAAGCUUUUGCGGUGUGGGAUGGGCCCGCGGCCUAUCAGCUUGUUGGUGGGGUAAUGGCCUACCAAGGCGACGACGGGUAGCCGGCCUGAGAGGGUGACCGGCCACACUGGGACUGAGAUACGGCCCAGACUCCUACGGGAGGCAGCAGUGGGGAAUAUUGCACAAUGGGCGCAAGCCUGAUGCAGCGACGCCGCGUGAGGGAUGACGGCCUUCGGGUUGUAAACCUCUUUCAAUAGGGACGAAGCGCAAGUGACGGUACCUAUAGAAGAAGCACCGGCCAACUACGUGCCAGCAGCCGCGGUAAUACGUAGGGUGCGAGCGUUGUCCAGAAUUACUGGGCGUAAAGAGCUCGUAGGUGGUUUGUCGCGUUGUUCGUGAAAACUCACAGCUUAACUGUGGGCGUGCGGGCGAUACGGGCAGACUAGAGUACUGCAGGGGAGACUGGAAUUCCUGGUGUAGCGGUGGAAUGCGCAGAUAUCAGGAGGAACACCGGUGGCGAAGGCGGGUCUCUGGGCAGUAACUGACGCUGAGGAGCGAAAGCGUGGGGAGCGAACAGGAUUAGAUACCCCGGUAGUCCAA